ACGAACGCUGGCGGCGUGCUUCACACAUGCAAGUCGAACGGAAAGGCCUUUUCGGAGGUACUCGAGUGGCGAACGGGUGAGUAACACGUGGGUGAUCUGCCCUGCACUCUGGGAUAAGCCUGGGAAACUGGGUCUAAUACCGGAUAGGACCGCACUUUAGUGUGUGUGGUGGAAAGUUUUUUCGGUGUAGGAUGAGCCCGCGGCCUAUCAGCUUGUUGGUGGGGUAAUGGCCUACCAAGGCGGCGACGGGUAGCCGGACUGAGAGGUUGGUCGGCCACAUUGGGACUGAGAUACGGCCCAGACUCCUACGGGAGGCAGCAGUGGGGAAUAUUGCACAAUGGGCGCAAGCCUGAUGCAGCGACGCCGCGUGGGGGAUGACGGCCUUCGGGUUGUAAACUCCUUUCGCCAGGGACGAAGCGUUUUGUGACGGUACCUGGAGAAGAAGCACCGGCUAACUACGUG
rnacentral:rRNA from 1 species